GCCCGGGUGGCGGAACUGGUAGACGCUACGGACUUAAAAUCCGUUGACCGAAAGGUCGUGCGGGUUCGACUCCCGCCCCGGGCACCA
rnacentral:tRNA from 1 species